rnacentral:piRNA from 1 species
UGUACAAUGUAGCUGCCUCUCUCUUC